GAUGUCGUGGUCCAAACGAGUAAGGCGCGAGACUGCAAAUCUCGAGACUGCGGGUGCAAGUCCCGCCGACAUCUCCA
rnacentral:tRNA from 1 species